rnacentral:rRNA from 1 species
GCCUUCAUGAAGCUGGAAUUGCUAGUAAUGGCAGGUCAGCAUACUGCCGUGAAUACGUUCCCGGGCCUUGUACACACCGCCCGUCACACCAUGGGAGUUUGUAACGCCCAAAGUCGGUGGCCUAACCUUUAUGGAGGGAGCCGCCUAAGGCGGGACAGAUGACUGGGGUGAAGUCGUAACAAGGUACC